GUGUAUGGUCAUACCAUGCUGAUCGUGUCUGAUCUCAGAAGCUAAGCAGUGUUGGGCCCAGUUAGUUCUUGGAUGGGAGGAUGACAAAAUUUUGGCAGAAGACACC
rnacentral:rRNA from 1 species